CGAAGUGUCGUAUACAUGGGUCAGCGGCGUCAUCUUACCUGAUGGUAUUAGAGUGAUAUAAAGACGAUGUUUAAUACUGUCAGGUAAAGAUGUCGUCGCACCUGGCUAUCGUCAUCCUCACCGU
rnacentral:pre_miRNA from 10 species